rnacentral:rRNA from 1 species
UACGGGGGGGGCAAGCGUUGUUCGGAAUUACUGGGCGUAAAGGGCGCGUAGGCGGUCUGUUAAGUCUAGGGUGAAAGCUCCCGGCUCAACUGGGAGAGGUCCUUGGAUACUGGCGGACUUGAGGGAGGCAGAGGAAAGUGGAAUUCCCGGUGUAGUGGUGAUAUGCGUAGAUAUCGGGAAGAACACCCGUGGCGAAGGCGGUUCUCUGGGACGGUACUGACGCUGAGACGCGAAAGCGUGGGGAGCAAACAGG